rnacentral:rRNA from 1 species
UGAACGCUGGCGGCAUGCUUUACACAUGCAAGUCGAACGGCAGCGCGGGCUUCGGCCUGGCGGCGAGUGGCGAACGGGUGAGUAAUGCAUCGGAACGUGCCCAGUAGUGGGGGAUAGCCCGGCGAAAGCCGGAUUAAUACCGCAUACGACCUGAGGGUGAAAGCGGGGGACCGAAAGGCCUCGCGCUAUUGGAGCGGCCGAUGUCGGAUUAGCUAGUUGGUGGGGUAAAGGCUUACCAAGGCGACGAUCCGUAGCUGGUCUGAGAGGACGACCAGCCACACUGGGACUGAGACACGGCCCAGACUCCUACGGGAGGCAGCAGUGGGGAAUUUUGGACAAUGGGGGCAACCCUGAUCCAGCCAUGCCGCGUGCGGGAAGAAGGCCUUCGGGUUGUAAACCGCUUUUGUUCGGGAAGAAAUCCUCUGGGCUAAUACCCCGGGGGGAUGACGGUACCGGAAGAAUAAGCACCGGCUAACUACGU